GGAUGCGAUCAUACCAGCACUAAAGCACCGGAUCCCAUCAGAGCUCCGAAGUUAAGCGUGCUUGGGCGAGAGUAGUACUANNN
rnacentral:rRNA from 1 species